rnacentral:rRNA from 1 species
UAACACGUAUCCAACCUGCCUCAUACUCGGGGAUAGCCUUUCGAAAGAAAGAUUAAUAUCCGAUAGCAUAUAUUUCCCGCAUGGGUUUUAUAUUAAAGAAAUUCGGUAUGAGAUGGGGAUGCGUUCCAUUAGUUUGUUGGGGGGGUAACGGCCCACCAAGACUACGAUGGAUAGGGGUUCUGAGAGGAAGGUCCCCCACAUUGGAACUGAGACACGGUCCAAACUCCUACGGGAGGCAGCAGUGAGGAAUAUUGGUCAAUGGACGCGAGUCUGAACCAGCCAAGUAGCGUGAAGGAUGACUGCCCUAUGGGUUGUAAACUUCUUUUAUAUGGGAAUAAAGUUGUCCACGUGUGGAUUUUUGUAUGUACCAUAUGAAUAAGGAUCGGCUAACUCCGUGCCAGCAGCCGCGGUAAUACGGAGGAUCCGAGCGUUAUCCGGAUUUAUUGGGUUUAAAGGGAGCGUAGGCGGAUUGUUAAGUCAGUUGUGAAAGUUUGCGGCUCAACCGUAAAAUUGCAGUUGAUACUGGCAGUCUUGAGUGCAGUAGAGGUGGGCGGAAUUCGUGGUGUAGCGGUGAAAUGCUUAGAUAUCACGAAGAACUCCGAUUGCGAAGGCAGCUCACUGGAGUGUAACUGACGCUGAUGCUCGAAAGUGUGGGUAUCAAACAGGAUUAGAUACCCUGGUAGUCCACACAGUAAACGAUGAAUACUCGCUGU